AGUGAACGCUGGCGGCGUGCCUAAUACAUGCAAGUCGAACGGAGUGGCGCACGGGUGAGUAAUGUAUAGCUAAUCUGCCCUACACUAGAGGACAACCGUCGGAAACGACUGCUAAUACUCUAUAGUGUAGGAUGAGGCUAUAUUGUAUCAGCUAGUUGGUGAGGUAAUGGCUCACCAAGGCUAUGACGCAUAACUGGUCUGAGAGGAUGAGCAGUGACACUGGAACUGAGACACGGUCCAGACUCCUGCGGGAGGCAGGAGUAGGGGAUAAUGCACAAUGGGGGAAACCCGGAAGCAGCAACGCCGCGUGGGGGAUGACACUUUUCGGAGCGUAAACUCCUUUUGUUAGGGAAGCGGUACCUAACGAAUAAGCACCGGCUAACUCCGUGCCAGCAGCCGCGGUAAUUA
rnacentral:rRNA from 1 species